UACGUAGGGUGCGAGCGUUAAUCGGAAUUACUGGGCGUAAAGCGUGCGCAGGCGGUUCGCCAAGUCAGGUGUGAAAUCCUCGGGCUUAACCUGGGAAUUGCGCUUGAAACUAGCGGGCUUGAGUGUGGCAGAGGGGGGUGGAAUUCCACGUGUAGCAGUGAAAUGCGUAGAUAUAGGAAGGAACACCAGUGGCGAAGGCGACCACCUGGACUGAUACUGACACUGAGGUGCGAAAGCGUGGGGAGCAAACAGG
rnacentral:rRNA from 1 species